rfam:Calothrix sp. PCC 6303, complete genome.
GGGCGACUAGCUCAAUGGUAGAGCAUCAGACUCUUAAUCUGCUGGUUCUGGGUUCGAGCCCCAGGUCGCCCA